rnacentral:rRNA from 1 species
UCAAGCUACAAAGAGCACAAGGGGAAUGCCUUGGCACCGAGAGCCGAAGAAGGACGUGACUAACUGCGAUAAGCUGCGGGGAGCCGUAAGUAGGCUUUGAUCCGCAGAUUUCCGAAUGGAGCAAUCCGGCAAGAGGAAAGUCUUGUCAUCAUAUACUGAAUACAUAGGUAUAUGAGGGGAACCGCCUGAACUGAAACAUCUAAGUAGGGCGAGGAAGAGAAAUCAACUGAGAUUCCGUAAGUAGUGGCGAGCGAACGCGGAAGAGGCCAAACCGAGAGUAGUAAUACUUUCGGGGUUCGGACAGAAUACGGCAUUGUAAAGGUUUAGUGGAAUGGAAUGGGAAGUCCAACCGAAGAAGGUGAGAGUCCUGUACACGAAAAGCCUGAACAGCCAUCUGUAUCCAGAGUACCGCCGGACACGUGAAACCCGGUGGGAAUAUGGGGGGACCAUCCUCCAAGCCUAAAUACUACUCGGUGACCGAUAGUGAAGAAGUACUGUGAAGGAAAGGUGAAAAGUACCCCUGACGGGGAGUGAAAAAGAACCUGAAACCUUGUGUUUACAAGCACCGAAAGCUCAUCAAAGAGCGAUCGGGUACCUUUUGUAGAAUGGUCCGGCGAGUGAAUGUAACCGGCGAGGUUAAGCACUUAAGGUGUGAAGCCGCAGCGAGAGCAAGUCUGAAUAGGGCGUAUGAAGUCGGUUGUAUUCGACCCGAAACCGGGUGACCUACCCAUGGUCAGGUUGAAGUAAAGGUAAAACUUUAUGGAGGACCGAACCGACUCCCGUUGAAAUGGUAGCGGAUGAACUGUGGGUAGCGGAGAAAUUCCAAUCGAACCCGGAGAUAGCUGGUUCUCUCCGAAAUAGCUUUAGGGCUAGCCUUGAAAUAGAUUACCGGAGGUAAAGCACUGAAUUGGCUAGGGGCCGAGAGGUUACUGAACCUUAUCAAACUAAGAAUGCCGGAUAAUCGUUUUUCAGGAGUCAGACAGUGGGAGAUAAGUUUCAUUGUCAAAAGGGAAACAGCCCAGACCCACAGCUAAGGUCCCCAAGUAUAGUUAAGUGGAAAAGGAUGUGGAAUUGCACAGACAACCAGGAUGUUGGCUUAGAAGCAGCCACUCAUUAAAAGAGUGCGUAAUAGCUCACUGGUCGAGUGACUCUGCGCCGAAAAUUUAACGGGGCUAAACUAUACACCGAAGCUUGGGAUACAUCUAAUGUAUGGUAGGAGAGCGUUCUGUAUGGGGAGAAGUCGUAGCGAAAGCGGCGGUGGACUAUACAGAAGUGAGAAUGCCGGAAUAAGUAGCGAGAAUUAAGUGAGAAUCUUAAUGGCCGAAAGUCUAAGGUUUUUGGAGGAAGGUUCGUCCGCUCCAAGUAAGUCGGGAGCUAAGGUCAGGCCGAAAGGCGUAGCCGAUGCACAUACGGUUGAUAUUCCGUAACCAUCUGUAAUUUAAGCAAAGGGACACUUCAAAAGGGUGUGACCCGGGCGUUGGUUGACCCGGGCGUAAGGGACCGAAAUUAGAGUAGGGAAGCACACUUAGCUGAAGGCGAGAAAAGCUUUGCGUAUAGAAACAGAUGCCCGUACCGCAAACCGACACAGGUGGACAGGAAGAGAAUUCUAAGGCCAGCGGGAGAAGGGUAGUUAAGGAACUCGGCAAAUUGACUCCGUAACUUCGGAAUAAGGAGUGCUCGAAAGAGCCGCAGAGAAUAGGCCCAGGCGACUGUUUAGCAAAAACACAGGUCUCUGCCAAAUCGAAAGAUGAAGUAUAGGGGCUGACACCUGCCCGGUGCCGGAAGGUUAAGAGGAGGAGUGAGAGCUCCGAAUUGAAGCCCCGGUAAACGGCGGCCGUAACUAUAACGGUCCUAAGGUAGCGAAAUUCCUUGUCGGGUAAGUUCCGACCCGCACGAAUGG